GACGAACGCUGGCGGCGUGCCUAAUACAUGCAAGUCGAGCGGAUCUGAUGGAGUGCUUGCGCUCCUGAUGGUUAGCGGCGGACGGGUGAGUAACACGUGGGUAACCUGCCCAUAAGACUGGGAUAACAUUCGGAAACGAAUGCUAAUACCGGAUACGCGAUUUGGUCGCAUGGCCGAAUCGGGAAAGACGGAGCAAUCUGUCACUUAUGGAUGGACCCGCGGCGCAUUAGCUAGUUGGUGAGGUAACGGCUCACCAAGGCGACGAUGCGUAGCCGACCUGAGAGGGUGAUCGGCCACACUGGGACUGAGACACGGCCCAGACUCCUACGGGAGGCAGCAGUAGGGAAUCUUCCGCAAUGGACGAAAGUCUGACGGAGCAACGCCGCGUGAGUGAUGAAGGUUUUCGGAUCGUAAAGCUCUGUUGCCAGGGAAGAACGCUAUGGAGAGUAACUGCUCCAUAGGUGACGGUACCUGAGAAGAAAGCCCCGGCUAACUACGUGCCAGCAGCCGCCGUAAAAC
rnacentral:rRNA from 1 species